CAAGGAAUUUUGCGCAAUGGGCGAAAGCCUGACGCAGCAACGCCGCGUGAGGGAAGAAGGCCUUCGGGUUGUAAACCUCUUUUUUCAGGGAAGAAUAAUGACGGUACCUGGAGAAUAAGCCUCGGCUAACUACGUGCCAGCAGCCGCGGUAAUACGUAGGAGGCGAGCGUUAUUCGGAUUUACUGGGCGUAAAGAGGGCGUAGGCGGCCUUUCAAGUCGGAUGUGAAAUCUCCCGGCUUAACUGGGAGGGGUCAUCCGAUACUGUUGGGCUUGAGGGCAGCAGGGGAAAGUGGAAUUCCCGGUGUAGUGGUGAAAUGCGUAGAUAUCGGGAGGAACACCAGUGGCGAAGGCGGCUUUCUAGGCUGUUUCUGACGCUGAGGCCUGAAAGUGUGGGGAGCGAACAG
rnacentral:rRNA from 1 species